rnacentral:lncRNA from 1 species
CCAUACACAUGCUUUUAUAAGCUUUACACUCUGAAACAUUAGAAACCCUUAAUCUAAUGGCUAGAAAUGACUUGUGAAAUGGAUGGCUUGGAUGUAGUCUUGUUUUGGUCUUUGCAAUCUUGGUGAUGGCUUCUGAUUGGUUAAGGAAGGCUGGCUGGUGAUUGGUCCAUUCAAACUGGUCAAGGCAAGGGCUGGCUUCUGAUUGGUUCCUCAAAGGCUCCCAUGAACCUUCCCACUUCUUUAGCUAGAUACAUGGUCCCCUUUGCUUUCCCUUUACACCUCUUGACAGCCUGUCCUUGUUGACCACGUCCUCUCUCUUCCUUAUCCACAAACAGUCUGAUUACAAUCAGACAAGGUCGCCUAAUCGCUCUCUAAACCGACGCCCUAAGUUUGCACAACUUCUGGUCGAUCCUGGGUGAAGUACGGUUGAUGGUACGGACCGCCUGUCCGUACCUCGCCCUAUUUUUGCACAUCUCACCCAAACAUCUCCAAUGGUCAGACCUGACUCGGUUUGGGUCGCCCUAAGAUUGCCCGGCCCGUCCGGUUUUGUACCGUCCGUACCGUCUGAUCAUCUGGUCGCCCUAUCUUUGCACCAUCACCCAUCUGACUCCAAAUGAUGUCUAAGUAUGUCUAAGUCCCUCCUGGACUUGACCCUAACUUUGCACACCUCAUUUGGAUACUUCUGUACACUCCUGAACACUCCUGAAGUCUUGAUACACAAUCUCCGGAGGUCUUGCCCUAUUCUUGCUCAAGACUCAAACUGCUCCAAACUACUCCUUUGGCUCCAUUUCUUUCUUCAAGUCAACACUCCCCCUCAAGCUUGACUAUAGGCGAUCCUUAGUCAAGCUUGGAACCUUGAAAAACUUCCUCAUUAAAAACCUCACCAAGGAAAACCCUUUGGGACAAAACCUUGAUGAGGGAAAAAGAGUAAAGUCUCCAAAGCCUAGGGAUUGGCCAGUGAGUCUUUGUGCCUUACCAACAAUGUAAGGGACACAAAGACUCUGGAUCACGGCCCUCAUGUGAUGCAAGGUAGAUCACCACUUCCCUUGCUCAUCACCAACACAUCUUGUACUCUUCUUCAGAACUGAUCUUGGUUGCUCCCCCUUUCACCCAACUUCUUGUUGGGUUGCUGUGCUCGGACAUACCAGAUCUCCCUUGAUAGAUACAAGCUGAGUCUUGGUUGCUUCUUCUUCAUGAGAUCACACCUUGCUUGAACUAUGUGAAUAUGCCUCAGCUUCUCUCCAAUCACCUCAAAUCUAGAAGCCGCCUUGGAGAUUGCUUCUUCAUUCUUCACCAGGUUGUCUUCUCUUCUUGAAUAACCACCAAGUACUCUCGCUCCACUCUCGGAUCACAGAAGCAUCUCAACACUCCCCCUUAAGCUUGACCAUGUGGAACAAGUCAAGCUUGGAAGGAUUGCUUCUUGAACCGCAACACAAACCAUUACACACUCACUUCUGACUUUGCCAUCUUCUUGGAAUGCUGGUUGAUUCAUAAGCUCUCUACAACCACCUCAAUACCUGAAGCCGCAUUGCUAGAGUAACUGUCUUCUUCACACAGCCAAGAGCACUCUGAAUACUGUCUUUUCUUAGGCUUCGCCAUUGCCUAAACCCGAAUAGCUUCAUCUCCAUUCUCUUGUAAUGGUAAGGAGGAAACAGGUCUUGAACUUUGGCUCUUCAGGUUGCUCAUUUGAAUCCCCACCACAAGCUAGAAUUGAGUCUAGGUUCAAGCUUGAAAUGAGCCUCAAUGAACUUCAAGACCAGGAGCACACCACCCUAACAGCUGCGCUUAAAUCACCGAUCCACCCUCUCGCCUUCAGCUUCAAGUACCCACGGAUCACCGGCCUUCCUCAUGACUUAGGUGGUGACCUUCUUCUUCUUGUGUGCUACUUGAACCAGGAGCUCAACAACCUCGUGGUCUGCGCUUCUUAAACCGGCUUCUACACACAAGCACCUUCCCAUUGCUCCACACAAUGGACCAAGUCUUCCUCUUGUCUCGGAUGGAUGGUGAGCAAAGAACACUUCUUGUGAACCUGACACACCACUCAAACUCCAGCAAAGAUAAGACACAAAAGUAUUGGGAUCAAUCCUUUACUAAUCAUCAAGUUUGAUUCCCAAUAUCACAAGCAAUGCAACAGAUUAAACACGACAUUAUCAAGUUCUAAUCUUUGCAAGCAAACUCUCUAAGCACAAGCAAGAUCCCUUCAAGAUUCAAGACAAGCUACUUAGGCAAUUUUAAUGCUCCUUAAUCUGCAACUUAGACAUGAAUCCAAUGCAUCAAUAUAAGGCAGCAACAACACUCAACGCUUCACAUUUAAACUCGGUUUCAUGUCAUGAAAGCAAUCAGGUUUAGACAUUACUACUAUCAUCCUAAAAGACAAUCAUUAUGAACCAGUAUGCAAGCAACAACUCUCAGUCACCAAACACAACUCAAUAAGCAUCAUGGGACAGAUUCAAAACAAUUAUUUAUUUAGCAAUCUUAACACAUCCUCAGGUUUUUCAAUCACAACACCACAACACAACCUGUCAAUAUACUCAAGCUUUAUACAAGAGAAAGAGAUAUCCUUACAGCCAAGGAACCGGUGUUAGUUCCUUGAAACUCCUUAGUACAUGGCAAGAUCUGAGCUGUUGGUGUCGACCCCAACAUCUCCUUCUUCCAUGGACCUUCCUCUUGAACCCACCAUGUCAAAGAGACCACCUUUCUUCAUGUUUGAGUCAGCAUGAGAAUCGCCUGAAUCUGGUUUGUUGAAGAGGCUAGCUAGACCGCUUCAUAACCUUUGCUUCUAAGGCCAUCUUUCUUCAAGGGUGGACAUGAGAACGUGGAGAACAACCAGAGACAGCUACUAGACGCCAUGUAUGAGCCCACCUUCUUCUUAAAGAGGUUUUACAGCUGGCUAAACAUGAAGCUUCUUCUUGGUUUGGAAAUGACAUGGGAGAAGCCUUGAGCUUAGCGGAAGCUGGAACCAAGUUCUAAUGAACCUGGCUCUGAUACCAUAUGAGAUUUUCAGAGAUCUCAGGUUGUGUGUGUGUAUAAACUCCAAUGGAGCAAGAUGAGAAGAUGAGAGUUUGUUUUAGGUGAUUUUAGAGGGAGAGUUUGAUAAGAGUGUUUAUGUGUUUACUCAAAUCAGAAACAAGAGACUUUGAGAGAUUAAGAGAUUAGAGACUAAGAAAGGGAGAGAUUAAAGGGAAUCUGAUUCAAGAACACAUUUCAUUCACGAAGGAGAAGGGAAAACCCCCUUACUGACUUAAGAGCUUUAAUUUUCGUCCAUACACAUGCUUUUAUAAGCUUUACACUCUGAAACAUUAGAAAUACUUAAUCUAAUGGCUAGAAAUGACUUGUGAAAUGGAUGGCUUGGAUGUAGUCUUGUUUUGUCUUUGCAAUCUUGGUGAUGGCUUCUGAUUGGUUAAGGAAGGCUGGCUGGUGAUUGGUCCAUUCAAACUGGUCAAGGCAAGGGCUGGCUUCUGAUUGGUUCCUCAAAGGCUCCCAUGAACCUUCCCACUUCUUUAGCUAGAUACAUGGUCCCCUUUGCUUUCCCUUUACACCUCUUGACAGCCUGUCCUUGUUGACCACGUCCUCUCUCUUCCUUAUCCACAAACAGUCUGAUUACAAUCAGACAAGGUCGCCUAAUCGCUCUCUAAACCGACGCCCUAAGUUUGCACAGCUUCUGGUCGAUCCUGGGUGAAGUACGGUUGAUGGUACGGACCGCCUGUCCAUACCUCGUCCUAUUUUUGCACAUCUCACCCAAACAUCUCCAAUGGUCAGACCUGACUCGGUUUGGGUCGCCCUAAGAUUGCCCGGCCCGUCCGGUUUUGUACCGUCCGUACCGUCUGAUCAUCUGGUCACCCUAUCUUUGCACCAUCACCCAUCUGACUCCAAAUGAUGUCUAAGUAUGUCUAAGUCCCUCCUGGACUUGACCCUAACUUUGCACACCUCAUUUGGAUACUUCUGUACACUCCUGAACACUCCUGAAGUCUUGAUACACAAUCUCCGGAGGUCUUGCCCUAUUCUUGCUCAAGACUCAAACUGCUCCAAACUACUCCUUUGGCUCCAUUUCUUUCUUCAAGUCAAC